GCCCUUGUUGUUUCCGUCUGACCUGGAUCGGUAUUUAAAGGAAAGAGACGUGAGAAACGGCAGCUUGUUGAGGUCCUCCUGUUUUCAGUGUAGAGGAUCAAAGGGCAGCAGCCAGUCACCUUGCAGUGACUCAGUCGCUUAUCUCCAUGCUCGAGUCAUGCAGGCGCAUGCCAGAACCUCUGACAGUUUAUUAUUGAAAAAUAAAUCAAGGACUUCUCUAAAAGCCCCUUGAAGAAUAGCCCGAGUCCUCUUUUGUCAAGCGUGAAAGAACGCUCUCUUCCGAAGUUUGUGUCUUUAUUUCAGGCAAUAAACUUGCAAGCAGGAA